rnacentral:rRNA from 1 species
UGCAAGUCGAACGGUGAACCACCUUCGGGUGGGAAUCAGUGGCGAACGGGUGAGUAACACGUGGGCAACCUGCCCCGAGCAUUGGGAUAACAGUGGGAAACCGCUGCUAAUACCGGAUACGACGACCGACCGCAUGGUCUGGUCGUGGAAAGGACUCCGGCUCGGGAUGGGCCCGCGGCCUAUCAGCUAGUUGGUGGGGUAAUGGCCUACCAAGGCGACGACGGGUAGCCGGCCUGAGAGGGCGACCGGCCACACUGGGACUGAGACACGGCCCAGACUCCUACGGGAGGCAGCAGUGGGGAAUAUUGCGCAAUGGGCGAAAGCCUGACGCAGCAACACCGCGUGAGGGAUGACGGCCUUCGGGUUGUAAACCUCUUUCAGCUCCGACGAAGCGAAAGUGACGGUAGGAGCAGAAGAAGCACCGGCUAACUACGUGCCAGCAGCCGCGGUAAUACGUAGGGUGCAAGCGUUGUCCGGAAUUAUUGGGCGUAAAGAGCUCGUAGGCGGUCCGUUGCGUCUGCCGUGAAAACCCGGAGCUCAACUCCGGGCCUGCGGUGGAUACGGGCGGACUAGAGUCCGGUAGGGGAGACUGGAAUACCUGGUGUAGCGGUGGAAUGCGCAGAUAUCAGGAGGAACACCGGUGGCGAAGGCGGGUCUCUGGGCCGGAACUGACGCUGAGGAGCGAAAGCGUGGGGAGCGAACAGGAUUAGAUACCCUGGUAGUCCACGCCGUAAACGGUGGGCGCUAG